AUUGAACGCUGGCGGCAUGCCUUACACAUGCAAGUCGAACGGUAACAGGUUAAGCUGACGAGUGGCGAACGGGUGAGUAAUGUAUCGGAACGUGCCCAGUCGUGGGGGAUAACUGCUCGAAAGAGCAGCUAAUACCGCAUACGACCUGAGGGUGAAAGCGGGGGAUCGCAAGACCUCGCGCGAUUGGAGCGGCCGAUAUCAGAUUAGGUAGUUGGUGGGGUAAAGGCCUACCAAGCCUACGAUCUGUAGCUGGUCUGAGAGGACGACCAGCCACACUGGGACUGAGACACGGCCCAGACUCCUACGGGAGGCAGCAGUGGGGAAUUUUGGACAAUGGACGCAAGUCUGAUCCAGCCAUGCCGCGUGCGGGAAGAAGGCCUUCGGGUUGUAAACCGCCUUCGUCAGGGAAGAAAAGGUUCUGGUUAAUACCUGGGACUCAUGACGGUACCUGAAGAAUAAGCACCGGCUAACUACGUGCCAGCCGCCGCCGUAA
rnacentral:rRNA from 1 species